GACGAACCAUCCAAACGUUAUUCGGAAUUACUGGGCUUAAAGGGUGCGUAGGCGGCGCAGUAAGUUGGGUGUGAAGUCCCUCGGCUUAACCGAGGAACUGCGCCCAAAACUACUGUGCUCGAGGGAGACAGAGGUGAGCGGAACUUAGGGUGGAGCGGUGAAAUGCGUUGAUAUCCUAAGGAACACCCGUGGCGAAAGCGGCUCACUGGGUCUCUUCUGACGCUGAUGCACGAAAGCUAGGGGAGCGAACGGG
rnacentral:rRNA from 1 species